CUAUUUUUUUUACUUAAUUAGCUUAAUUUUUUAGCUCUUUGUUCUUAUAUUUAUAAGAAAUAUAAGUAUUUAUGCUAAUAACAUAAAUCUUGAGAGAAAAAAAAAAACUUAAUUUAAUAGCCGAAUUUUUUAUCCCGAAUUUUUAAUUGAUGAACGUAUAAUAUCCGUAUAAAUCACGUAUCCGAAUAAUUGACGAAUCUAUUUUUUAGCCGUAUUUUUCAACAAAUUUAAAAAUUAGAAAACGAAUUUCAUCCGAAUUAUGCCCGUACUGAAUUUUUGUCGAAUCCGAAUUAACUAACUAUGGUUACACUACGCAUACUAACAUGCAAUGCCCAACAUAUAUAACUUAUC
rnacentral:lncRNA from 1 species